CCUGCAAUUUUAAAAUUCAACCCUCUGAGAAAGGAAAAGAAGGGAGGCCAGUUAACUCUUGGAAGGGAAAGUUUGGACCUGAGGAUUGGGAUCUUCAAGCCUGCUUGGAUACAUCUGGAAAUAAUGGAUUAAUAACUCUGAUUUGAUUCUGCUUCCUGUGUUCCAUAAGGCCAGAACGUUCCUCAGUGUGCACCAGUCAACAUCUAUCCAGUUUCACUCUGGAAGAUAGGAGUUUAUUUCCUUCAUGGUCAGGAACUCGUAAUUUCUAAGGUGGAGAGGUUUUUACCUGUGAAUGAGCUUGAACUAAAGGACAUGUCAUUUAUCCAAGGCUAUAGCAGGCUCAUCUAGCAGGCCUAGUCACCACUAGAAGUGAGUCCCUGAACUUCAGACUUUCCCAGCUGAAUUGCUUGAAUUCCCCGUACAGUAGGUAACACUGUAACACCAACCCCUUACAGGAGCAUCAGCAGUAGGGAUCAGACCUGGUACCUCCUCUCUUUAUAGCUUUGGAUAAGUAGCCUGUUCCAAGCAACCAUAUCUCAACUCCCUCCUUCACCCAUGGAAAAAAAAUAUGGAGGCCAUCAAGCCAAACCGAACAAAGAAAAAUAAAUAUUGUCUGACACCCUAUUGCUCCCACAUGCCUUCACAAGCAAUGCUAACAAGGGUGGCCAAACUGCAGCUUAUGAGGUGCACAUGGUUCUUUUACAAUUAAAGUGCAGCUCACAGAGCCCCACCACCACUACCACCAUUCUCUACCUACCUUCCUAUGCGGGUGGGAGAGCUUGAGGCUUUUGCCCUGUAGUUGUCUAGGGCUUUCAGGAUCAGCCUCAUAGAGUACCCCUGCUGGGGCUCAGGGGUUGAAGCUUUUCUCCAUAGGGAUAAGGCCCCAAGGCUCAGCAGGUUGCUCCUGUGGGGAUGAAGUCCUGAGACCCUCCUCCACUGAGGGCAGAAGCUCCUAGUAUCACCACACCACAACACGGCUGAAGCCCCAAGUUCUAGCUGGCAUGCUUUGCUCUCAAACUUUUUGAAGAUUGUCAUGUGCAGCUCGGAAGGGCAGUGAAGUAAGUUGGCAACUCCUGAAUGCUAACAUUUGAAGGAUGGUCCUUCUCAAUUUCUUAUUUUAAAAUAUUUUUUUUAAUUACCUGACCUCUCCCUGAUGAAGAGGAAUUAUGACAAGUGCUUUCUUGGUGCUUUAAUAUUCAGUGCCAAAGGAACUUACAAUAGCUCAGCCUUCUGGAAAUGGAACUCGGAAACAUCCAAGUCAAAAAAUAGAUCUCUGCCUUGAAAUAUGACAGCCCAUUCCCUUGGAGCUGCGGCAGCUUCAUAGAUAGAAGUAUCACAUUCCUCACACAAGGACAUCUGUGAAGUUACCACCUGGUCAUUUAUUCAUGCCACCUUCAGAUUCUACAAGCUGGGUAUCCAGUCCUCAUCUGAUGAAGCCUUCAGCAGGUGGGUGUUCCUCCUCUUUUAGUAUCCCAGUAGCUAUUGUGAAAGGAUUAUCUGUUCUUUUGCAGCUGUACAUAACUGUGUAUACAACACACACUCUUUUAUCCCAACAAUCUGGGUGACAUUUGAAACUUUCAGAUGAUUGGGCAUUUUGAUAACUAGUAAUGUUAUUUUGAACUGCACUUUCACAUGGAGGACUUUCACUGUGGAUCUGGAUUGCUAGGAAUUUGGAUAAAGCAAAAUCCAGUACCAGUUCCUAUCACCACAAGUGGACACUGCUAUGAAAAUCCCAAUAUCAUGAACCUGUGGAACUCAUUAUGAAUAAAAAUAGAAAAAAAAUUAUAUGUGCCUU